rnacentral:misc_RNA from 1 species
GAUUUCGCAUACGGCAGGGGAGACGAAGUGAAUCCGUCGGAAUUUGCACGGAAAUAAUUCCUAUUUUUUUAUAAGUUACUCGUAUUUUUGCAUUAUUUUAGUUAUUGAAUUUUGAAGUGAAAAUGGCGUUAAAUCCACAGUACGAGGAUAUUGGUAAAGGAUUUGUGCAACAAUACUAUGCGACAUUUGACGAUCCCAACCUCAGAGCGAAUGUGGCCAAUUUCUACAGUGCGACCGAAUCAUUCAUGUCCUUUGAAGGCGUACAAUUGCAAGGAGCACCUAAAAUAAUGGAAAAGUUGUCUAGUUUGUCGUUCCAAAAAAUAUCGAGGGUUAUAACAGCAGUAGAUUCACAACCAAUGUUUGACGGAGGCGUAUUAAUCAAUGUACUAGGAAGACUCAAGACCGAUGAUGACCAGCCACAUGCGUAUAUUCAAACAUUUGUUCUUAAGCCUGUGGGUGGUAGUUUCUUCGUACAACAUGAUAUUUUCAGGCUAUCGCUACACGACGUAUAGUUAUAUGGAAAAUAUGCACUGCGUGCACUGCCCUUAACUCACGCUUGACAGUGGACGCUACAGUUACUGCUGCGAUAAUAGAACAUUUUAAUAAACUAUGCUAAUUUGCUAACGUAUGUUACCUUAAAUAACGAUAACAAAAAAGGAAAUCUGAAAGCCAAUUAUACAAAAAUUGCAAUAAUUUAGAAUAAUAAAUUUGACUGAUUAGUGACUGUGUCGAGUUUAGUCGCCAGAUAUGCCGCCAACAACGCCACUACCAUCGAUGCCGAUUUUACUAUGAAAUGCGAAGAGUAUUCUGCGUUUUUGUGUGACGAGGAUCCACCACACGCCUUCUCGCAAGUCUUCGUUUUGCGGCCACUCGGCGGUACAUUUUUCUGUGCACACGACAUCUUUCGUCUGAAUAUACACGACACAGCCUAGUUGUGUCAACAUUUUGAUUACGUUUAUAAUAAUAAUGAUACAUAAAUAUUAAAACAAAUGGAGUGAUUGUAAUAACGUUAGA